rnacentral:tRNA from 1 species
GCGGCCGUGGCGAAAUUCGGUAGACGCAUCGUCUUGAGGAGGCGACGGGAAACCAUGUCGGUUCGACUCCGGCCGGCCGCACCA